rnacentral:rRNA from 1 species
GAUGAACGCUGGCGGCGUGCCUAAUACAUGCAAGUCGAGCGAACAGACGAGGAGCUUGCUCCUCUGACGUUAGCGGCGGACGGGUGAGUAACACGUGGAUAACCUACCUAUAAGACUGGGAUAACUUCGGGAAACCGGAGCUAAUACCGUAUAGCAUGUUGAACCGCAUGGUUCAACAGUGAAAGACGGUCUUGCUGUCACUUAUAGAUGGAUCCGCGCCGCAUUAGCUAGUUGGUAAGGUAACGGCUUACCAAGGCAACGAUGCGUAGCCGACCUGAGAGGGUGAUCGGCCACACUGGAACUGAGACACGGUCCAGACUCCUACGGGAGGCAGCAGUAGGGAAUCUUCCGCAAUGGGCGAAAGCCUGACGGAGCAACGCCGCGUGAGUGAAGAAGGUCUUCGGAUCGUAAAACUCUGUUAUUAGGGAAGAACAAAUGUGUAAGUAACUAUGCACGUCUUGACGGUACCUAAUCAGAAAGCCACGGCUAACUACGUG